rnacentral:rRNA from 1 species
GACGAACGCUGGCGGCGUGCUUAACACAUGCAAGUCGAACGGAAAGGCCCUGCUUUUGUGGGGUGCUCGAGUGGCGAACGGGUGAGUAACACGUGAGUAUCCUGCCCUUGACUUUGGGAUAACUUCAGGAAACUGGGGCUAAUACCGGAUAUGAGCUCCUGCUGCAUGGUGGGGGUUGGAAAGUUUCGGCGGUUGGGGAUGGACUCGCGGCUUAUCAGCUUGUUGGGGGGGUAGUGGCUUACCAAGGGUUUGACGGGUAGGCGGCCUGGGAGGGCGACCGGCCACAUUGGGACUAGGAUCCGGCCCAGACCCCUACGGGAGGCAGCUGUGGGGAAUAUUGCACACUGGGCGGAAGCCUGAUGCAGCAACGCCGCGUGCUGGAUGAUGGCCUUCGGGUUGUAGACCGAUUUAGCCUCUGACGAAGCGUGCGUGACGGUAAUGGGUAAAGAAGCACCGGCUAACUACGUG